UAUGAAGCGGGCCUUUAUUGGACUUUCAGGAAAAUUCUUUCCAUUUUAUGAGAUUAUGCCGGGGAAGGUUUUCCGGUUUAUCCCGGAGGGCUUGUAGCUCAGUUGGUUAGAGCGCGCGCUUGAUAAGCGUGAGGUCGGAGGUUCAAGUCCUCCCAGGCCCACCAAUUUAAUUAAGUGCUGUUAGGGUGCUUAUGUUGUGUGGACGUGUAAUGUACGUGUGCAUAGGAAUUAAAUUUUUAUCAAUGACGCUGAAGUGAUUUAAACUCAAUUUAAAGUUAGUGGUUUGAAUUCUUGAUCCUUUUUAGGGGCCGUAGCUCAGCUGGGAGAGCACCUGCUUUGCAAGCAGGGG
rnacentral:misc_RNA from 1 species